CAGCCGCCACGGUAAUGCGAAGGGUGCAAGCGUUACUCGGAAUUACUGGGCGUAAAGCGUGUGUAGGUGGUUGUUUAAGUCUGUCGUGAAAGCCCUGGGCUCAACCUGGGAAUUGCGAUGGAUACUGGGCGACUAGAGUGCGGUAGAGGAUAGUGGAAUUUCCGGUGUAGCAGUGAAAUGCGUAGAGAUCGGAAGGAACAUCUGUGGCGAAGGCGACUAUCUGGGCCAACACUGACACUGAGACACGAAAGCGUGGGGAGCAAACAGGAUUAGAUACCCCCGUAGUCCCUGUCUCUUAUAC
rnacentral:rRNA from 1 species